UCCCUUGUGGCUCAGCUGGUAAAGAAUCCACCUGCAAUGUGGGAGACCUGGGUUCGAUCCCUGGUUUGGGAA
rnacentral:tRNA from 1 species